rnacentral:lncRNA from 1 species
AAAAAGUCCAAGAGAAAUAGCAAGUAUCUCUUGAUUGUCUAGGAAAUGGCCUGACAGUGAUUGAAGGUCUUCACUCAGAUCCCAACAAUUUUAUAACCUACUGCAUUAUGUACUCUACUGCAAGGACAUCUCUCACUUCAUUUCAUUUUACCUGUGUUUUGAUUUUUUGUGCUAACUGCUUGUAAAUAAAACUGAUUUUGUC